rnacentral:rRNA from 1 species
GGUUGCGAUCAUACCAUCACUAAUGCACCGGAUCCCAUCAGAACUCCGUAUUGAAGCGUGCUUAGGCGAGAGUAGUACUAGAAUGGGUGACCCCCUGGAAAGUCCUCGUGUUACAACCC